AGAGAAAAUCAAACCAGACUUUAUAAUAAAGUAUCCACCAGACUACAAAGUAUACACAAUGGAGUCACCUAACCAGUGGUCUACAGUGUGAAAUCAUGCUUGACACCUUGAUGAAGCCUUUAACAAAAGUAUCCCACAAAAUCCCAUUGCAAGUAGUCCACAGACAGUAUGAAGAUCAGGUAAUUAUUGUUACACAUACAACCCUUCAGUGAAAGAUGAAAAAGUAACAAUGAUAUUGUAUAACAUUGUAUAAUUACUGAAUACCAUUCCAUCACCUCCUUUGACCAUAUACAGCGGUGUUCAGGUCAGGUGAUGAGAACAGAUACUAACUGACCACCGUGUAAUAGACUGAAGUCAUCAGUUGUUGGACCCUGUACGCACUGUGAAUGAGGUCUGUUCACACACAGCACAGGAAAAUGAUGUCUAAACAUGAUAUUGUAUUCGGAGUGGAAAUGGAAACAAAUACUCUAAUUAUUACAUACACACUUUUGUUUUAUUAAAACAUCAGUCUGUAUGUCUUUGAGGAAUAAAAACAUCAUCAAAUCC
rnacentral:misc_RNA from 1 species